GAAUGGUGCAUUUCCCCGUAUUUCCCCUCGUCCUUGUCUUUGACAGAUAUUAUAGCCUACCCUCUCGCCUUCCAAGAAGCAAUUGAAUCAGAGAAUCACCGCGUCUUCCAGCUGCGUCCCGCAGGCAUUACAACCCGAUGGAUGAUUGCAUGUAUCGGACUGAACACCGCUUGUUCACUUCUCCUCCCGGGUGAUGAGUGCACAGAGAAUGGAUGUUAAACUAUACGAACCACGUAAACACAACAUGUUGUCAUAUAAUAAACAGCCAGGGUUUUACAACUUAAAAACUUGCGACAAGUUGUCCUUCUUUACACGCUUUUAUGAAAAUAAAAGUGAAACAAAAUUGGUUUACUGACACACUGAGAACAUUGGUAAGAUUGUGGGUGUCUGAAAUCCUAACAAAAUACAAAUUUUACAAGUUAUGUGGGUGAGCAAUAUUAGACACAACAAACAGCCAUGUAGCUUACACAUCCCUGUAGCAGUGUUUGUGUUUUUGCAGCUCCUUCUGACAUCAAUUCUGUGAAAUAUAUUAACCUAUGCUGCUGCCUUUAUUGGACAAUGAAAGCUUAGUAAAUACCCUCCUACAGGAGUGACUGGAUUUGAUCAGCUGUGUAAAGUGAGUCUUUCACAAUAAUUAAUCAUUAACUUUAUAGUCAGCAAGCAUGACACCUGAACUCUCUCCAAGCGAAUAUCAAUGAAAUGCCAUUUUCCAUCCAUUACUUUUUGUUGUUCUGUUCAGCAGGAAAGUUGGAGCGCUUCCUGCUCUCAGGCUAGAUAACACUCUCGCACUUCCCACUCCUGAAUGAGAAGGUGGGAAAUUAAAUACUUGAGAAGACAAAAAGGACACACAGCUCCCCCACAGUGGACACAGGGCAUUUUCCACCUGGCAGCAUUUUCUUAAUGGAACAAAUGUGGACUUAUUAGGAGCAGCCAAGCAGGGCAUGGCGUUAAGCAGACUUCUGCUGCUCUGUUUGGUAGCCUCUGAGGUGUGGGAUGCCGAGACCAAACCCACAGAAUUUGUGUGUAAUAAAGUCGCCAGGAGGGCUUUAAACAUUGUGGCAGAGCUGGAAAGUGCACUGACUAAUUGUAGCGGCUUGUCGACCCUCUCCACACCAGUUCAGCUCCCAUGUAUUGAGCUCCAUGUAGCAUCUUGGGAAAACAAAUCAGUAUGUCGGCACAUAACCAGGAGAAGAGAGGAGAUGUAGUUGCGUCCUUGAGGCUUCUUACUGGAGGUGUGGAGGUUUUGAGGGCUCUGAACCAGUCGAGAUGUGCCGUUUCACAACUGCAGAGGCUGGAGAAGAACAUUAACAACUACCUGCUCAUUCUUAGAAACCUUCAGCUGAGUGGGCCAUUGGUGAGUCCGGCAUUGUCCUGUGUUCCUCAAAGCACCUACAGUCUCAGCACAUUCCUGCUGAACUACAAUCAACUGAUAACAGGCAAACUGGAACGUUUCAUGAAUGCCCUGGAAGAUAGAUGCACUUCUUAGUGACACAAAAUGAACUUCAGUGGAUCUUCAAAAACUGGGAAUGGGCUCAACUUGGGACAAAGGUCGAAAAAAAAGAAGAAUGAAGAUGUAUCAGAGAAUAAUAGUCACAGGGAUCUGGAUUGAUCAUUGCCAUUCUGAAAUGUCUAAUUUAUGAAAAGUGUUAUCUUAUAUUGUUGUGUUUUUCUUUUGGUAAACUGUCUUAGAGUAAGAUGCAAACAUAUUUAAUUCCCUGCUGGUUGAAUUAACUACUUCUGGAAAAGCAGAGGAAAGCAAACUACAUCAAGUCUGCAUGCUUAGCAAGAGCGUUUUUUUUGUGUAACUUUCAUAUCAAUUUAUUAGAAAAAAACCCACAGCGUUUCAGUCCCUCUUAAUCUCAAGCGUGUUAUCAAACCAGGAAAAAGUAUUUGAUCGAUUAUGUCAUCACAUGUUCUACCUCUAAUGUCAUUUACAGGAUCAAAUAUCCUUGUGGAUUAUCCUAUGUUUGUUAAACAUCACGUCUACGACAGCAAAGAAUGAGUGAGGGAUUACCCUGUAGCAGUUUAUUUCAAUGACUUUAACCAUGACAUCUCAUCAUUCAGGUUCCAGGGCAUUGGAAAGACAACACUGCCAGAGAGAGGUGGUAAUAUUGACCACAUUCUCAACAGAAGGGAAGUGUACUGGGUUUCUAACUGUGUCCCUCAAAGGUUUAAAUGAUGAGAUCCCAUGGGAUGUUAGACUCUAAGGAGUUCAGUUCUUUGUAAGACACAGUGAUGGUACAAACGAGAUAACGAUUGUAACUCAUGUGAUUGUACUUUUUUUUUUUUUAAUGAUUUAUAAAAGGUGUAAGGCCCAUGUUUUUAUUCAUUAGAUAUGAUAUUUCUGUAAAUAGUCCUGUAAAUAGGUCAUGUUUUUUGUGGUAGAGUCUCAUUGUUUCAUUUAACUGUAUUUUCUCUUCUCCAGUGCCUGUUAAUUUGUAUUUAGAUUAUUUUUACCUUUAUAUAUGUGGAUAUUGUGUUGAGUGACUCUACACAUGUUGCUGCCGAUGAUUGAGAGAGACUUAUAAAUAUACUUAAUGUCCCACACCUGUGCACACACACAGCAGGCGGAGCAUUGAGUACUUAAGAUCAUGAUGGGGAAAUA